UUGAACAGUCCUGCUACACUUUCAGGGAAUUCCAGGAUUCCCAAGAACACAGUUUAAGACUACUGUUAUACAGUGGCUAACAUUCAGACUAAUGAAAUGUGGGUGCUAGGUGAGAAACACUGGUGUUGCUGAAAGUUUUGACUAAUGAAGCAUUGGCAAUUGUGUGUGUGUGUGUGUGGGGGGGAGAUUUCAACCCCCCCUUCCCCUGGAAGAACCCUGUGCCACUCAAAAUAUAUAUUGCUGAGGGUCACACAGCCCUCAGGGACAUAUUUUUGGGUGGCAUAGACACUUCCAGGAGAAGAAGAUUGUCAAAGUUCACACUCACACCCCCGGUGCGAGCACCGGUACUGCUUUAGUUGGGAAUUCAGCAGCAGUACCAACAUUUCUCACCAGCACCUAUGCUUUUUUAGUCUGGAUGUCAGCCAAUAUUUGUUCAUCUGGAUUAAGGAGACCUUGGUAAUGUCUUUUAUGAUGCUAUGAACUGAAGGAGUGAGAGGAUAUCAUAUAACUUCUUCCUGCUCCUAACUGCUGUUUGGGGACUUUGAAACUUCCUAGAGUAAACUACUUAGAUCCCUUCCUCCCUGUCAUGAUCAUCUACAAAUGAACUCAAAAUAUAUCCCUUUUGCUGUAAGAAGUUUGGUAGACCAGCUAUUAUAUGGAGCUGGCAAGACAUUUACUUCAUGUAUCCUUUUCAUGUAGGCUGUUCUUACAGGCAGAGCUUUAAAGAAAAAUCCAGAACUGUACAAUGGUAUGUGAGUGUAAUUCACAUAUGUAGUGUGUGUCACUACAACAUACAUAUGUGUGUUUUCCUGUUCUGUGCACGCAUACUUUGCUACCUAGAGUCACAUUCUAUGUCAUUUAGAAGCCUACACAGAGUUGGAGAAAAUUCUUAUAAAUUGGAAUUAGAAUUAUUGCAGAGGAGUGCUAUGUUUAUCAGUGAAGACUGUGGGUAGUAGCAAUAGAGUCUAUGGGAACUAUCUUUGGGUGGAAGAUACUGGACUACUCGCUUUAUUUUUCCCAUUGUUAUCAGUCACUUUUUGCACAAUCACACACACAGAGACACACCACUUUUGCAUGACUUGAAUUUUUGAACUGCAUAAAUGUUCUUUAGAAAUGCACUUUUUAGACCUUCAGAACUGCAUGUUUUGUGUAGGGUUGCACAUUGAAAAAAAGCCCUGCUUAUAGGUUCAUGUGUUUACCUGGUCUAACAACCCUCUUCCCAUUGUAGAAUAAUGUGUGUGUAUUAUCUCCUUCCUCAAACACAUAGUGUAACAUGUGACACAAGGAGCCCAAUUGCUUGAUCAUGCGGAUCAGACUUCCAUGGAUAUAGUCUUUGUGUGGAAUACUCAUGCCACGCUGUUAUGUGCAUGUGUAAAGGAAUUACUCCUUCCCAUUAUGUUUUGUGGCUUGUUUUUCUUUAGUUGUUCUGUGUUGCCUCCAGAGGUGUACCUAGGUAAUUUUGGAGCCGGACCUAAAGGCCUUUGGAGGCCCCCCUCACUGCAAGUUAAGCAUCAUUUUUUAACAUGCAGGUUCUUGAGGGCACAAACCACACCAACCAGGACAGACUAAAGAUGAUUUAGGGGCCCCCCAGAGAGUGUGGAGACCCUGGACUUUGGCCCCGAAGUCCAGAGGUAAGAGCGCCUCUGGUUCCCUCUAGGCUCUGCAGGGGUUAAAAGGUAGUAGCCUCUGACAGCCGAGUCUGAGGUAAAAGUUAUCUGUGGCAGAGUUUUGGAGGGAAAAUUACAGAGUGUUUUUUGGCUGUCACCAGGCAGAGACAGAAGGUUCUAGCUACCUGAGGGAAGAAGCUCCUUGAUUGGUUAAUGUAUCCCUUUGGGACUGGAUAAAAGGGAAGCAUGAACAACCAGGAAGAGGAGGGCUGUGAGGAAAUAGGUGCUGCUGAGUGUUGUGUGAGUUGGAAGGCUGGAACAUCAGCAAGGCAGAACCUGCUAGGGAAGGUUGGAUGGAAGCAACUACGAAAACUGGGCUUUGAAGAUGGAGGGAGUUUUCAUGACAAAAGGGAUUAUAGAAGUCCUCAUGGAACAAUGUACAGAUCAAGAUGCAGCUGCCCAAGCCUCGUGGGUAAAUUUAAACCAGCAAGCUUUUGGACUUCUGAUUUUGAAUAUGGCAGGUUGGAGCUCACAUGAAUUGAAUGCUUUCAGUCCAGUGAACCUGCACCUACAAGCUGAGGUGGUAAAGCCUAGACACACAGCGCUACCUCCCCAGUCAAAUUUA